AACGCGAAGAACCUUACCUACCCUUGACAUCCUGCGAAUCUAGCUGAGAGGCUGGAGUGCCGAAAGGAACGCAGAGACAGGUGCUGCAUGGCUGUCGUCAGCUCGUGUCGUGAGAUGUUGGGUUAAGUCCCGUAACGAGCGCAACCCUUGUCCUUAGUUGCCAGCAUGUAGAGAUGGGCACUCUAAGGAGACUGCCGGUGAUAAACCGGAGGAAGGUGGGGAUGAGGUCAAGUCAUCAUGGCCUAUAUGGGUAGGGCUACACACGUGCUACAAUGGUCGUUACAGAGGGAAGCGCACCCGCGAGGGGAAGCCAAUCUCAAAAAAGCGAUCGUAGUCCGGAUUGGAGUCUGCAACUCGACUCCAUGAAGUUGGAAUCGCUAGUAAUCGCAGAUCAGAAUGCUGCGGUGAAUACGUUCCCGGGCCUUGUACACACCGCUAGUC
rnacentral:rRNA from 1 species